rnacentral:rRNA from 1 species
GACGAACGCUGGCGGCGUGCCUAAUACAUGCAAGUAGAACGCACAGUUUAUACCGUAGCUUGCUACACCAUAGACUGUGAGUUGCGAACGGGUGAGUAACGCGUAGGUAACCUGCCUGGUAGCGGGGGAUAACUAUUGGAAACGAUAGCUAAUACCGCAUAAUAUUGAUUAUUGCAUGAUAAUUGAUUGAAAGAUGCUAUUGCAUCACUACCAGAUGGACCUGCGUUGUAUUAGCUAGUAGGUGAGGUAACGGCUCACCUAGGCGACGAUACAUAGCCGACCUGAGAGGGUGACCGGCCACACUGGGACUGAGACACGGCCCAGACUCCUACGGGAGGCAGCAGUAGGGAAUCUUCGGCAAUGGACGAAAGUCUGACCGAGCAACGCCGCGUGAGUGAAGAAGGUUUUCGGAUCGUAAAGCUCUGUUGUAAGAGAAGAACGGGUGUGAGAGUGGAAAGUUCACACUGUGACGGUAUCUUACCAGAAAGGGACGGCUAACUACGUG